AGGCAGCAGUGAGGAAUAUUGGUCAAUGGGCGAGAGCCUGAACCAGCCAAGCCGCGUGAAGGAAGACGGCCCUAUGGGUUGUAAACUUCUUUUGUCGGGGAACAAAAGCCGAUUUGCGAAUUGGUCUGAGUGUACCCGAAGAAAAAGCAUCGGCUAACUCCGUGCC
rnacentral:rRNA from 1 species